CCCAAGAUCACAGAUCAAGAUACUUAUUUUCGCCCAUUUCCUCCUACUUCCAAUUUCCCCAUUCUUUAGAGGAGGAACUUCUUUUUAAGCAAAAGUUUCUUAUUUUUAUCCUUUCCUUGGGAGCCUGACUGGUCAAGCAAAUCUAUCUCAUCCUUCGGCUUCAAACUUCAGAAUCAUAUCUCCUUCACUAAUGAAUCCCUAAAAGACUUUGGUCAAUGAUUCAGGAAAAGUCUGUCACAAAACACCUGAGCUACAGGGAGAUAUUGUCUCAAAACAGUCAACCAAUCACCAGCCAAUCAACGAACUUACCAACCAACCAACAAACCAACCUGAUGAUGCUCCAUGUCUCUUGUAAACUUUCUUCAUUCUUUUUCAUUAUCUUACCUUUUUGCUAAUCUUCUGCUUCAGCAUUCUUUGUGCUAGGAUUAGAGAUUCAUGGUUCAAAUUUUCCAAUAAUAUAAAUUUGGGAAAAGAGAUAAAUGAGGUUAAAUACUGAUUUGUUGCAAUAUAAAAAUUUUACCAAUCUGAAAAACGGAUGCUUACAUUUGGGUUUGGA